CCUACGGGAGGCAGCAGUCAAGAACAUUCGACAAUGGGCGAAAGCCUGAUCGAGCGACGCCGCGUGCAGGAUGAAGCAUUUCGGUGUGUAAACUGCUUUUCCAUCGGAGAAAGUCGCAAGACUGAUAGUACGGUGCGAAUAAGUGGCUGCAACUUCGUG
rnacentral:rRNA from 1 species